UCCCCGCCCCUUCCCGAAUCCCUCCCCGCCUAGGUUUGUUCGCGGGGCGGUGCGAGGCAGGAUGUCACGUGACCCUGCGAGUGGCUCAGAUCCGAGCUGGCCGCCUUUCUCCCCUUCCUCAACCCCAGGUAAAGAAUUUGAGACACAAGAGAUUGAGUAACUUGUCCGAGAUCACGGCUGUGUGGUGCCGAAGCUGGAUUCUAAUUUGCGGGUUGGCUCCAGAACGUGAGUUGUUGAACACAAUUCUGGUGGAAGACAACCCAAGACGUUCGUUACCCUCCACUAUCCCACACCACAGUCACUCUCUGGCGAGGCUUCUGCCACCACCCCCUUCCCAGCCCCCGCCAAAAAAAUUUUGAUAAUUUGGUAGAAGAAUAUUAAAUUGAUUUUGCUUCAGAAUAAAGGCUACUUUUCAGUUUGCAGUU